GAUAAGCGAGGAAACAUUUCUCGGUUUAUCAAUGGCAUAAAUAACCAUUCACCGGAGGGUAAGAAGAAGCAGAACCUGAAAUGUGUGAGAUACAGUGUAAAGGGCGCAUGUCAUGUUCUUCUGGUUACAAUUCGUGAUAUCGCCAAGGGAGAGCGGCUGUACUAUGAUUACAAUGGAUACGAGCAUGAAUAUCCAACACAUCAUUUUGUUUAAAAUGUCGUAUGUAGCUUUCCUAGUGAGCUUAGGAUCAGCAGAUCUUUCUUCUUCAUAACUAUACAACUAGUUCAGAUCAAAACCUUUUUUCCCUUAGUGUCAAGGUGAAUGCUGGCCAUUUAGAUGGAAGAAGAUACA
rnacentral:misc_RNA from 1 species